CGCAGCCGGGCCUCCACCAGCACCCAGCCGCCUCCAUUACUCUGUGCGCCGGCGCCGCUCUCCAUGGCCGGCCAGGACGCGCUCGCCCCGGGCUCCUGCGGCCUCAGCCCGGCUGCGACGCGGCGGACGCGCGGGGGGUGGUCUGUCUGAAUGUGAUCAGGUCUGACGGUGUCUGUGGAGCCAUCGGGGAGAGCUGACAUGCUAGCAUUUAUGUGGAUCUGUGGCUCCCAGAUGUGACCAGAUUAUGGUCUUACACUAUGAAAAGGUCCAGGACGAGCAGGUGACUGGAGCUGAGCCGAGCCUGUGACCAGAGAUCGCCACCUAGAGGAGGGAGCAGGAAUCACAAGGAGCAGGAAACUUACCCAGACGAUAAUAUUUUAGUUUCAACAAGUGGAAACACCUGACCCAUUCAGCCGCAGCUUGAUGACAGUUAAGACCCAAACUCAAGUUCAACAAACGUGCACACAUGAUUAUGAAUGAAUGUUUUUUUUAUAAAUAUUCCACCUCAAAAACACUUAAAAAAACUCAUUCAGAUUAAACCUAAACAUGUAAGCUUGAAUGUAACUAUUAAUUAAUAUAUAUAAACUCUGUGUGCAUAGAUUUAUUCUUAUGGUGGAUACUGACCUUAAAAACUGGUAAAAAUACCAUUAACGGGUCAGACUAAUAAUACAACAUUUAGAAGCACUUAUGUUUUGUUAACACAAGCAUAAAUAGCUCAAUAAUAUAACAAUAAUCACGCUGAUCCAUGAUCAUGUACUUAUGCUGCACCAUU